GCCAGCAUGGCCUAGUGGUUUGAGUGUUGGACUCCGACUCUGGAGAUCAGGGUUCGAUUCCCAGCUCAGCCA
rnacentral:tRNA from 1 species